GAUGAACGCUGGCGGCGUGCCUAAUACAUGCAAGUCGAGCGAACAGAUGAGGAGCUUGCUCCUCUGACGUUAGCGGCGGACGGGUGAGUAACACGUGGAUAACCUACCUAUAAGACUGGGAUAACUUCGGGAAACCGGAGCUAAUACCGGAUAAUAUAUUUAACCGCAUGGUUCAAUAGUGAAAGACGGUUUUGCUUUCCCUUAUAGAUGUAUCCGCGCCGCAUUAGCUAUUUGGUAAGGUAACGGCUUACCAAGGCAACGAUGAGUAGCCGACCUGAGAGGGGGAUCGGCAACACUGGAACUGAGACACGGUCCAAACUCCUACGGGAGGCAGAAGUAGGGAAUCUUCCGAAAUGGGCGAAAGCCUGACGGAGCAACGCCGCGUGAGUGAUGAAGGUCUUCGGAUCGUAAAACUCUGUUAUUAGGGAAGAACAAAUGUGUAAGUAACUAUGCACGUCUUGACGGUACCUAAUCAGAAAGCCACGGCUAACUACGUG
rnacentral:rRNA from 1 species